rnacentral:rRNA from 1 species
CUCAGAUUAGCCAUGCAUGUCUAAGUACAUGCCGUAUUAAGGCGAAACCGCGAAUGGCUCAUUAAAUCAGUUAUGGUUCCUUGGAUCGUACCUUACUACUUGGAUAACUGUGGCAAUUCUAGAGCUAAUACAUGCAGCAGAGCUCCGACCUUCGGGGACGAGCGCUUUUAUUAGACCAAAACCAAUCGGACCUCGUGUCCGUACGAUGUGGUGACUCUGUAUAACUUUGGGCUGAUCGCACGGGCCUGUCCCGGCGACGUAUCUUUCAAGUGUCUGCCUUAUCAACUGUCGAUGGUAGGUUACUCGCCUACCAUGGUCGUAACGGGUGACGGGGAAUCAGGGUUCGAUUCCGGAGAGGGAGCCUGAGAAACGGCUACCACAUCCAAGGAAGGCAGCAGGCGCGCAAAUUACCCACUCCCRGAACGGGGAGGUAGUGACGAAAAAUAACAAUACGGGACUCUUUUGAGACCCCGUAAUUGGAAUGAGUACACUCUAAAUCCUUUAACGAGGAUCCAUUGGAGGGCAAGUCUGGUGCCAGCAGCUGCGGUAAUUCCAGCUCCAAUAGCGUAUAUUAAAGUUGUUGCGGUUAAAAAGCUCGUAGUUGGAUCUCAGUUCCAGACGGGUGGUCCGCCUACCGGUGGUYACUGCCUGUUCUGAACAGCCAGCCGGUUUCUCUUGAUGAUCUUCACCGGUUGUCUYGGGUGACCGGCAAGUUUACUUUGAAAAAAUUAGAGUGCUCAAAGCAGGCGUGACGCCUGAAUAAUGGUGCAUGGAAUAAUGGAAUAGGACCUCGGUUCUAUUUUGUUGGUUUUCGGAACACGAGGUAAUGAUUAAGAGGGACAGACGGGGGCAUUCGUAUUGCGACGCUAGAGGUGAAAUUCUUGGACCGUCGCAAGACGAACUACUGCGAAAGCAUUUGCCAAGAAUGUUUCCAUUAAUCAAGAACGAAAGUUAGAGGUUCGAAGGCGAUCAGAUACCGCCCUAGUUCUAACCAUAAACGAUGCCAGCCAGCGAUCCGGCUGUGUUUCUCAAAUUGACACGCCGGGCCAGCUUCCGGGAAACCAAAGCUUUUGGGGUCCGGGGGGAAGUAUGGGUUGCAAAGCUGAAACUUAAAGAAUUGACGGAAGGGCACCAACAGGAAUGGAGC